ACGGGUGAGUAACGCGUGGGAACAUACCCUUUCCUGCGGAAUAGCUCCGGGAAACUGGAAUUAAUACCGCAUACGCCCUACGGGGGAAAGAUUUAUCGGGGAAGGAUUGGCCCGCGUUGGAUUAGCUAGUUGGUGGGGUAAAGGCCUACCAAGGCGACGAUCCAUAGCUGGUCUGAGAGGAUGAUCAGCCACAUUGGGACUGAGACACGGCCCAAACUCCUACGGGAGGCAGCAGUGGGGAAUAUUGGACAAUGGGCGCAAGCCUGAUCCAGCCAUGCCGCGUGAGUGAUGAAGGCCUUAGGGUUGUAAAGCUCUUUCACCGAUGAAGAUAAUGACGGUAGUCGGAGAAGAAGCCCCGGCUAACUUCGUGCCAGCAGCCGCGGUAAUACGAAGGGGGCUAGCGUUGUUCGGAAUUACUGGGCGUAAAGCGCACGUAGGCGGAUAUUUAAGUCAGGGGUGAAAUCCCGCAGCUCAACUGCGGAACUGCCUUUGAUACUGGGUAUCUUGAGUAUGGAAGAGGUAAGUGGAAUUCCGAGU
rnacentral:rRNA from 1 species